GUCCGUGAUCCAUUACACGGAGAAGCAAGACGAUCGGCGCAGCCGUGAACGUAAUCGCAACGUUGUUCGCCGAUGUGUUGAACAACAACUAUCUGAAUAUCACGAGACUGGGCAUCGGUAGACGGGUUGGAAAGCGUUUAUUCGCGUACAAUAGAAACUCUGGCUCGGUUGCCACAACGCACCGGUCUCGUAAAUCAUCUGCUCGUGUCAGUGCGCAACAUAUUCUUCGAGAGAUCGUGGCUAUGUACGUUUCUCUAAUUAUCAACUGUCACGUGGAUUUCGGGGUCUCUCGAUAUUUGCCAUAGGUCGAUGCCUGGAUGUGUUACACGAUAUACUGUACGAUGAUACUGUAUGAUGCUGUACAUUCUAAAGCAGAAAUGGUUUGGUCAGUGGACAUUCCAAACGAAGAUUAAUGCGUCGUGUGAUUAAAUUUCUGGUAUCAAUAAUUCCUCGUAAUAAAUUUUUACCUUUGUGGAUAAUUAUAACGAUUACAAAUUAUAUUACGAGAAGAGAUCGUCUAUAUCGCUUUGAGUGUGCAGUACUUUGACUCUCUCAGUGUGUGGCACGAAAAAGACUCGAGCAAAUCGUCAAAUAAAGUAUUAUAAAUUUGAUAUCUUAAAUGUUAUCAUAUGUAAGAUAAUUAUUAAUAAUUUUUUACCAUAAAAAAUUGAAAGGAUUUAUUUCUUACAUUCGAUACUAGAAAUACAAGGAAUUUUGGGGAUAAGAAGGGUUAACAAAGUGCAGUGGUGGUUAGAAACUUUUUGCUGAAGUGGAAUUUUAUUACGUCGUUGAGAUAAAAAAUUUCUGAAAGUAAACAUCUGUGGCGCAACUAUUACUUUUAGGAAUUUUGAGAAUAUUUUGGCUGGAAGAAUUUUAUUAAUGCAUAAGUUACAAUAAAAUAGCACUGUACUCUGUAGGCAUUUUUCUCUACUUACACAUUUAUAUUCUAUAUAUAUUUAUACGUUUAUAUAUAUUUUCCUCUAUGUUUCAUAGACUUAUGUUCUAUGUAUUUCUACAUUAUGUAUUCCGUAUGUCUUAUUUAUGCGUCUACGUGAAGCUUAGAGGCGGACAAAUUUGUAAAAAGCAAGUAGUAUGAGAAAAUAUAGCAACAAAAUACAUAAUGAAAUAAAAAAGUUGGAAAUGAUCGGCUUAGUAGUUUGUGAAUGAAAUAUUUUGAUUAUUAAAUUUGUGCAAGAUGUAAUUGAAUUCUCAAUAAAUUACACGAGGCCAGACUGAAUAUGAUUGAAAGCAGCGUUGGCAGGUAUUUGUUCGAUCUUUCUAAAUCGGUCGGCGCCGCAGUAACUCGAAGACAAAUCGAUUCCAAUCGAGAUUCAGCGAAAUUAAUGCCCCCAAUUCCGAGCAACAAGUGCCAAAACUGUCAUAACGCCUGGUUCGAAAUGCAGUCCUCAAAAUACGAGUUGCAGAUGGAACAUUUAAUGAGCGAAGUGUCAAACUUCCUUGACGUCAAUCCUUAUAUUAUAUAUCACCUGGAAAACUCACUAGUAUAUAUCACUUGGAAAACUUCCUAUUGUUAGUCGAACCAAUUCGAGGAAUAUUGUCUUACAGUGAAGCGAUUGUCAGUCGAAUGCUUAUCGAUAAUAGAUAAACGGAGUCGAAACGGAGUGCGAUUCAGUAUUC